GGACUACCGGGGUAUCUAAUCCUGUUUGAUCCCCACACUUUCGUGCCUCAGCGUCAGUUACAGUCUAGUAAGCUGCCUUCGCUAUCGGUGUUCUUGACGAUAUCUAAGCAUUUCACCGCUACACCGUCAAUUCCGCCUACCUCGUCUGUACUCAAGCCCUGCAGUAUCAAUGGCACCUCGACAGUUGAGCUGCCGUAUUUCACCACUGACUUACAGGGCCGCCUACGCACCCUUUAAACCCAAUAAAUCCGGACAACGCUUGCCACCUACGUAUUACCGCGGCUGCUGGCAC
rnacentral:rRNA from 2 species